rnacentral:rRNA from 1 species
GACGAACCGUGCGAACGUUGUUCGGAUUCACUGGGCUUAAAGGGCGCGUAGGCGGAUAAGCAAGUCCGGGGUGAAAUCUUCGGCUCAACCGGAAAAGUGCCUUGGAUACUGCUUGUCUUGAGGAGGUAGGGGUCAUGGGAACGUUCCGGUGGAGCGGUGAAAUGCGUUGAUAUCGGAAGGAACGCCGGUGGCGAAAGCGCGAUGACUGGAUCUCUUCUGACGCUGAGGCGCGAAAGCUAGGGGAGCAAACGGG